GCAGAAUGCUGGUCAUUUAUUCAUAUAACGUUGUGUAGGUGAGUAGGUUUCAUAUCAGAUGUAAAUAGAAUUGUUUCCUUGUACUUGUUUGUGGUAACAUUCCCGAGUUAUCUCUGUUAAGAUUUACACGAUUGGUUGUGAUAACAUGUUGUUGUACACAUUCCCGCAGGCAAAUUUAUGUUUUAUAUUACGUAGUGUUGUGAAGAAAGAAUUUUUAAAAUUAUUCACAGAUCAGGGAUCUGAUUUUUUGUUACUAUUUGAUAUAUAGAUAUGUAUAUGAUAUAUACGAUUUACAUAUUUUUCACAUUUGCAUGUACUGUUGAACACAAUUUACGGUAAGAUGUAUCAAUUCCAAUGAGUUAUUUAUCGUUGCAACGUUUAGAUACUGUUUGUAGGUAUAAUUUAAUGAAAUAUGUGCAUACACAAAAAACGUUUAAAAUAUUUGUAUAGCAGAGGUUGUUGUGUUUAAUUAUUUUAACACAAAAUAUUGUAUAAUUUUUUUUAUUUUAUUUGAAUAAACUAAUUCAUAGUUU
rnacentral:misc_RNA from 1 species